CAACGUAUGAAUAAUACGUGGCGUACGGCUCAGUAACACGUAGUCAACAUGCCCAAAGGACGUGGAUAACCUCGGGAAACUGAGGAUAAACCGCGAUAGGUCAUAAGUACUGGAAUGUUUUAUGGCUCAAAUCUACAUGGCCUCUGGAUUGGACUGCGGCCGAUCAGGCUGUUGGUGAGGUAAUGGCCCACCAAACCUGUUACCGGUACGGGCUCUGAGAGGAGGAGCCCGGAGAUGGGCACUGAGACAAGGGCCCAGGCCCUAUGGGGCGCAGCAGGCGCGAAACCUCUGCAAUAGGCGAAAGCUUGACAGGGUUACUCUGAGUGAUUCCCGCUAAGGGAAUCUUUUGGCAUCUCUAAAAACGAUGCAGAAUAAGGGGUGGGCAAGUCUGGUGUCAGCCGCCGCGGUAAUACCAGCACCCCGAGUGGUCGGGACGAUUAUUGGGCCUAAAGCAUCCGUAGCCGGUCUUGCAAGUCUUCCGUUAAAUCCACCUGCUUAACAGAUGGGCUGCGGAAGAUACUACAAGACUAGGAGGCGGGAGAGGCAAGCGGUACUCAGUGGGUAGGGGUAAAAUCCUCUGAUCCAUUGAAGACCACCAGUGGCGAAGGCGGCUUGCCAGAACGCGCUCGACGGUGAGGGAUGAAAGCUGGGGGAGCAAACCGGAUUAGAUACCCGGGUAGUCCCAGCUGUAAACGAUGCAGACUCGGUGAUGGGCCGGCUUCAUGCCGGCUCAGUGCCGCA
rnacentral:rRNA from 1 species